CCGAGUUCAUGCCCUCACGGGUAGAUCUCCCACCCUAUGUUAUUAUUACCUCUGUUGCUUUGGCGGGCCGUCAGGCUUCGGUCAGGCUACCGGCUCCGGCUGGUAUGCGCCCGCCAGAGGACCCCAAACUCUGAUAAUCAUGUCGUCUGAGUACUAUGAUAAAUAGUUA
rnacentral:misc_RNA from 1 species